rnacentral:ncRNA from 1 species
GGAGGGGGAACAUUCAAUAAUGUUCCGUAAUGGCUUGAUUCUUUUUGAAGAAGUUUGAUUCUUGCUUAUAAAAUUAGCUUUAUAGAAGGAAUACAUGUAUAGUUUAUUUUAAUAAUUUUUAGUUCAGUAUAUUAUUUUGAAUAAUUCAGGGGACUGAUAUUUAGUUAUCUAAAAAACUUUGACAUAAAUUGUGCCAGCAGUCGCGGUUAAACGAUUAAAGUUAGUGAAUUUUUAUUAGUUAAUAUUUAAUUUUAUUUUUAUUAAUUAUUAUAUUUUAUUAGGUGAAAUUAUAAAUUUAAUAAAUGAGUAUUAUGAUUAUAUAUGAAAGUUUCUUUAUAAACCAGGAUUAGAUACCCUGUUAUUUGAUUCAGUUAAUAUUUAACUUUAGUAUUAAUAGAUAUGUUCUUUAAAUUAAAAGAAUUUGGCGGUAAUUUAUCUUUCUAGAGGAACCUGUCCUAUAAUCGAUAAUCCACGCUGGGUUAUACUUUUAUUUAACUUAUAUAUCGUUGUCAUUGAAUGUCUUAAAAGGGUUUUAAAAUUUUCGUUUAUAUUAUGUUUAAAAUGUCAGGUCAAGGUGUAGUAAUAUAGAAGAAAGAGAUGGGUUACAUUUAAUUUAUUAAUAGUUCAUGGAAUUAAAUAUUUUAUGUUAAAUUGGAUUUAGAAGUAAUUUAUUAUAUCUUUGGGAAGUGAAAUUGGGUUCUGAAUUAUGUACAUAUCGCCCGUCACUCUCAUCUUUAAGAUGAGAUAAGUCGUAACAAAGUAGGCUUACUGGAAAGUGAGCCUUGAAAGG